rnacentral:rRNA from 1 species
AAUCAACGCUGGCGGCGUGCCUCAGACAUGCAAGUCGAACGCGAAAUUUCCCUUCGGGGGAGAAAGUAGAGUGGCGCACGGGUGAGUAACACGUAGGUAAUUUGCCUUCGGGUGGGGGAAUAACUCAGGGAAACUUGAGCUAAUACCGCAUAAUGCAGCGGCUCGACAUCGAGACAGUUGUUAAAGCGGGGGAUUGGAGCAAUCCGACCUCGCGCCUAAAGAGAAGCCUGCGGCAGAUUAGCUAGUUGGUAAGGUAAUGGCUUACCAAGGCGACGAUCUGUAACCGGCCUGAGAGGGCGGUCGGUCACACUGACACUGACAUACGGGUCAGACUCCUACGGGAGGCAGCAGUCGGGAAUUUUGGGCAAUGGGCGCAAGCCUGACCCAGCAACGCCGCGUGAAGGAUGAAAUUUUUCGGAAAUGU